AUUGAACGCUGGCGGCAUGCCUUACACAUGCAAGUCGAACGGCAGCGCGGACUUCGGUCUGGCGGCGAGUGGCGAACGGGUGAGUAAUACAUCGGAACGUACCCUGUUGUGGGGGAUAACUAGUCGAAAGAUUAGCUAAUACCGCAUACGACCUGAGGGUGAAAGUGGGGGACCGCAAGGCCUCACGCAGCAGGAGCGGCCGAUGUCUGAUUAGCUAGUUGGUGGGGUAAAGGCCCACCAAGGCGACGAUCAGUAGCUAGUCUGAGAGGACGAUCAGCCACACUGGGACUGAGACACGGCCCAGACUCCUACGGGAGGCAGCAGUGGGGAAUUUUGGGCAAUGGGGGCAACCCUGAUCCAGCAAUGCCGCGUGUGUGAAGAAGGCCUUCGGGUUGUAAAGCACUUUUGUCCGGAAAGAAAUCGCGCUGGUUAAUACCUGGCGUGGAUGACGGUACCGGAAGAAUAAGCACCGGCUAACUACGUG
rnacentral:rRNA from 1 species